rnacentral:rRNA from 1 species
UGAAGUAAAAAAGUCGUAACAAGGUCUCCGUUGGUGAACCAGCGGAGGGAUCAUUACCGAGUUUACAACUCCCAAACCCCUGUGAACAUACCAAUUGUUGCCUCGGCGGAUCAGCCCGCUCCCGGUAAAACGGGACGGCCCGCCAGAGGACCCCUAAACUCUGUUUCUAUAUGUAACUUCUGAGUAAAACCAUAAAUAAAUCAAAACUUUCAACAACGGAUCUCUUGGUUCUGGCAUCGAUGAAGAACGCAGCAAAAUGCGAUAAGUAAUGUGAAUUGCAGAAUUCAGUGAAUCAUCGAAUCUUUGAACGCACAUUGCGCCCGCCAGUAUUCUGGCGGGCAUGCCUGUUCGAGCGUCAUUUCAACCCUCAAGCCCAGCUUGGUGUUGGGAUUCGCGAGUUAAAUCGCGUUCCCCAAAUUGAUUGGCGGUCACGUCGAGCUUCCAUAGCGUAGUAGUAAAACCCUCGUUACUGGUAAUCGUCGCGGCCACGCCGUUAAACCCCAACUUCUGAAUGUGACCUCGAUCAGGAGGAUUCCG